rnacentral:rRNA from 1 species
AUUGAACGCUGGCGGCAUGCUUUACACAUGCAAGACGAACGGUAACAGGCCGCAAGGUGCUGACGAGUGGCGAACGGGUGAGUAAUGCAUCGGAACGUGCCCAGUCGUGGGGGAUAGCGCAGCGAAAGCUGUGCUAAUACCGCAUACGAUCUGUGGAUGAAAGCGGGGGACCGAAAGGCCUCGCGCGAUUGGAGCGGCCGAUGUCAGAUUAGGUAGUUGGUGGGGUAAAGGCUCACCAAGCCAACGAUCUGUAGCUGGUCUGAGAGGACGACCAGCCACACUGGGGCUGGGACACGGCCCAGACUCCUACGGGAGGCAGCAGUGGGGAAUUUUGGACAAUGGGCGCAAGCCUGAUCCAGCAAUGCCGCGUGCAGGAAGAAGGCCUUCGGGUUGUAAACUGCUUUUGUACGGAGCGAAAAGGCUCUCUCUAAUACAGGGGGCUCAUGACGGUACCGUAAGAAUAAGCACCGGCUAACUACGUGCCAGCAGCCGCCGUAACAC